rnacentral:tRNA from 1 species
GAGGGUAUAGCUCAGUGGUAGAGUGCCUGCUUAGCAUGCACAAGGUCCUGGGUUCAAUCCCCAGUACCUCUG